rnacentral:tRNA from 1 species
UAGACAGAUGCUAAUUGUUUAAGUGUUUAAUUGUUAAUUAAAAGUUUGUAGGAUCAAAACCUUCCUGUCUAG